rnacentral:rRNA from 1 species
AAUGAACGUUGGCGGCGUGGAUUAGGCAUGCAAGUCGAACGGGCCCGGUCUUCGGACCGGGUCAGUGGCGCAAGGGUGAGUAAGACGACGGUAACCAACCCCAUGUCGGGCAUAGCCGAGGGAAACCUCGGGUAAUUCCCGGCGGGGCGCCUUGAAGGCAUCUUUGGGGCGCUAAAGGUGGAAUUCCGCCUUGGGACGGGCCGUCGUGGUAUUAGGUUGUUGGCGGGGUCAUGGCCCACCAAGCCAAGGAUGCCUACCGGGCGUACGAGCGUGGCCCGGCACACUGGGACUGAGACACUGCCCAGACUCCUACGGGAGGCUGCAGUCGAGAAUCUUCGGCAAUGGGCGCAAGCCUGACCGAGCGACGCCGCGUGGGGGAUGAAGGCCUUUGGGUUGUAAACCCCUGUCGAGGGGGAGGAAGGGCCGGUGCAGAGCCGGUCUUGACCGAUCCCUGGAGGAAGCACGGGCUAAGUUCGUGCCAGCAGCCGCAGUAACAC